rnacentral:rRNA from 1 species
CCUACAAGGCCUUUACUGACGCUAAAGCUCGAAGGUGCGGGUAUCGAACAGGAUUAGAUACCCUGGUAGUCCGCACGGUAAACGAUGGAUGCCCGCUGUUGGCGAUAUACAGUCAGCGGCCAAGAGAAAUCGUUAAGCAUCCCACCUGGGGAGUACGCCGGCAACGGUGAAACUCAAAGGAAUUGACGGGGGCCCGCACAAGCGGAGGAACAUGUGGUUUAAUUCGAUGAUACGCGAGGAACCUUACCCGGGCUUGAACUGCACAGGAAGGAUACAGAGAUGUUGACGCCCUUCGGGGCCUGUGUGGAGGUGCUGCAUGGUUGUCGUCAGCUCGUGCCGUGAGGUGUCGGCUUAAGUGCCAUAACGAGCGCAACCCUUUUCAUCAGUUGCCAUCAGGUGAUGCUGGGCACUCUGUUGAUACUGCCACCGUAAGGUGUGAGGAAGGUGGGGAUGACGUCAAAUCAGCACGGCCCUUACGUCCGGGGCUACACACGUGUUACAAUGGGGCAUACAGAAGGCGGGAUCAUGGCAACAUGGUUCAAAUCUUUAAAGUGCUCCUCAGUUCGGAUUGGGGUCUGCAACCCGACCCCAUGAAGCUGGA